AUGUUGGACAGAGCAGGUCUCUGUUCUCUGCCUGUGCUGACCCAGACCCCGUCUGCAUCUUCUUCCCUGGGAGGCUUGGCCAAGCUCACCUGCACCCUGAGCAGCGAGCACAGCACGUACUUCAUUUACUGGUAUCAACAGAGAGUAGGGCAGGCCCCUAGGUAUCUGAUGAAGCUGACCAGUGACGGAAGUGUCACCAAGGGGGAUGGGAUCCCCGACCGCUUCUCAGGCUCCAGCUCUGGGGCUGACCGCUACCUGACCAUCGCCAACAUCCAGUCUGAGGACGAGACUGAGUAUAUCUGUGGUGUCAGCUAUAAAACCGACGGCCAAUAUGGAUACCACAAAGGACGCUUUUGUGUCCCCAAGGCCCAGGGGGGAGCCCAGGAGCAGACUGGGAGGUGUGUGCACAUGCUGGGGCAGGGGCAGCCUUUCUCCCUCAGCACCAGAGAGAGUUGUGGGGACCUGGGCUCAGGCCUGGAACUCAGGUCCCACUUGAACUCCUCCUUGGAUCCCAGCUGUUCUCUGCUCAGCAGGGAGCCGGUCACAAGGCCAAAGGUGGCAGGAAAGAGAUUUGCAUGA